rnacentral:rRNA from 1 species
UACGAAGGGGGCUAGCGUUGCUCGGAAUCACUGGGCGUAAAGGGUGCGCAGGCGGUUCUGCAAGUCAGGCGUGAAAUCCCCGGGCUUAACCUGGGAAUGGCGCUUGAAACUACGGGACUGGAGUAUGGCAGAGGGAGGUGGAAUUCCACGUGUAGCGGUGAAAUGCGUAGAGAUGUGGAGGAACACCGAUGGCGAAGGCAGCCUCCUGGGCCAAUACUGACGCUCAUGCACGAAAGCGUGGGGAGCAAACAGG